rnacentral:rRNA from 1 species
GACGAACGCUGGCGGCAUGCCUAAUACAUGCAAGUCGAGCGAACAGAUGAAGUGCUUGCACUUCUGACGUUAGCGGCGAACGGGUGAGUAACACGUAGGGAAUCUACCUAUAAGCGGGGGAUAACAUUCGGAAACGGGUGCUAAUACCGCAUAAUAUCUUCUUCCGCAUGGAAGAAGAUUGAAAGACGGCUCUGCUGUCACUUAUAGAUGACCUUGCGGUGCAUUAGUUAGUUGGUGGGGUAACGGCCUACCAAGACGAUGAUGCAUAGCCGACCUGAGAGGGUGAUCGGCCACAUUGGGACUGAGACACGGCCCAAACUCCUACGGGAGGCAGCAGUAGGGAAUCUUCCGCAAUGGGCGAAAGCCUGACGGAGCAAUGCCGCGUGAGUGAAGAAGGCCUCCGGGUCGUAAAACUCUGUUAUGAGAGAAGAACAAAUUGUAGAGUAACUGCUACAGUCUUGACGGUAUCUUAUCAGAAAGCCACGGCUAACUACGUGCCAGCCGCCGCCGUAA